GAUGAACGCUAGCUACAGGCUUAACACAUGCAAGUCGAGGGGCAGCAUGACCUAGCAAUAGGUUGAUGGCGACCGGCGCACGGGUGAGUAACACGUAUCCAACCUACCGGUUAUUCCGGGAUAGCCUUUCGAAAGAAAGAUUAAUACCGGAUAGUAUAACGAGAAGGCAUCUUCUUGUUAUUAAGGAAUUUCGAUAACCGAUGGGGAUGCGUUCCAUUAGUUUGUUGGCGGGGUAACGGCCCACCAAGACAUCGAUGGAUAGGGGUUCUGAGAGGAAGGUCCCCCACAUUGGAACUGAGACACGGUCCAAACUCCUACGGGAGGCAGCAGUGAGGAAUAUUGGUCAAUGGACGAGAGUCUGAACCAGCCAAGUAGCGUGAAGGAUGACUGCCCUAUGGGUUGUAAACUUCUUUUAUAUGGGAAUAAAGUGAGCCACGUGUGGCU
rnacentral:rRNA from 1 species